UGGAUUCUUCGGGCAUUCGAACACAUGUGACAUAAAGCUUGACCAGGCAGGCAAUUAUGUGCGAUAGGGACGGCCCGAUGUUUUAUCAUCUAUCGCGCGACUAUGAUUGCCCUACAGAAAUAUAUACUAUACACGCCAUGUUGCGGAAUUUCAUUAGAACUAUUUUCUUCAUACUAUACUGAACUGUCACUGCAUACAUCAGAAUAACUAACAGCGCCCUCUUGAAAAUAAUCAUGUAUUUCUGGUCAGGUUUUAAUUAAUAUAGUAGUUACUGUGAAAAAUUCUGAUGAAAAACAUAUCAGGACACUGUACAAAUUUAUAUGAGCUUCUAUAUAGUUAUUCCGUCACAAAAAAUAAACAGAUAUAUCGAGUAAGUGGAAUAAUAGUGAAACAAAAUCAAUUAAAUUAUUUCAGAUUUGUCUGUAGUUACCUACUGCAAUUUUACAACGAUUUUUUUUCAUUCAGAGGAUUUUAUGGCCUGUAUUGAAUUUAAAGAUGUAUCAAAAACUGUCUCUAGAUAUGAUAUGGAUCGGAUAUAUCAGUGUUAAAUGGUACGUUUUUUCAUACAAAAUCGUUACUUGACACUGACAUCCGAUCCAAUAUCUACCUAGAGCUAGUACGAAUGUGAAGGUCUGAAACAGGCUGUUAAUAUCUAAUUAUGACUAGUACCUCAAUAAGAAGCUUGUUCUCUAAAACGAAGUGGCAACUUGCUUAAAUUGCAAAGCUGUUUAAAAUUAAUCGAGCAUUCUCUAUGUAAUUAUUCUAAUCUGGUAUUGUCUAAAAGCAAUGGCACUAAUAUCGUAGUACAUAAUACAUUCGACCACUCAAUCUACUUUAUAAGAAAAUUAUUGUAAUAAGUUACCAAAGCAAUUUCGAUAAGUUAGAUUAUAGCUAGAUGAGCUAAGUGAAACUUGAUAUUUUUAUAUGACGUGAUGGAUCCAUUAGAUGUAUGUUUGAAAGCGAGUCAGUACAUGCCAUGAUCUGCUUUAAUAUUGUAUUCACUAUACUUAUCUCUAUUGAGACUCAAAUUAUAUUCUACUUAGUAGUCUUAACAUUGAAAUCUUAUGAUUCACAUAAAACGUGUGGCUUUAAAACUAAAAUGUCAAAAAUAUUAAUAGUGUUACGCCAUAAUAAUGCUAAAGUAAAAGAGAAUGUUUGCGGACUUCCAUUGGGGAUUAAAUAUAUUUUUUACAAAA